CUCUAGUUAGCUUCCCCACUAACCCAGACCCCAACCUCUAGCUAGCUACCUCCCUAACCCAGACCCCAACCUCUAGUUAGCUUCCCCACUAACCCAGACUCCAACCUCUAGCUUCCGAACCUCUAGUUAGCUUCCCCCCUAACCCUAACCCCAACCUCUAGCUUCUGAACCUCUAGCUAGCUACCCCUUUUUCCCAGACCCCAACAUGUAGCUUCCAAACAACUAGCUAGCUACCCCCCUACCCGGACACCAACCUGUAGCUUACAAACAACUAGCUAGCUACCCCCCUAACCUCAAACCUAAUCACCCAACACUGCAUUUCAUAUCUGUUUACUUCCCUAACCACUAUUCACCAGGUGUGUCUGCCAAAUGCCACCCUAUUCCUUACGGGCUCUAGUUGAAAGUAGUCGACUAUAUAGGGAGUAGUAUGCCAUUUGAGACACACGGCAGGAGACUAACAGGUACGACACCAGAGGUACGGGACCAGAGGUACGACACCAGAGGUACGACACCAGAGGUACGACACCAGAGGUAUGGGACCAGAGGUAUGGGACCAGAGGUAUGGGACCAGAGGUAUGGGACCAGAGGUACGGGACCAGAGGUACGGGACCAGAGGUAUGGGACCAGAGGUACGGGACCAGAGGUAUGGGACCAGAGGUACGGGACCAGAGGUAUGGGACCAGAGGUACGGGACCAGA